rnacentral:rRNA from 1 species
UACGAAGGGGGCUAGCGUUGUUCGGAAUUACUGGGCGUAAAGCGCACGUAGGCGGAAUGUUAAGUCAGGGGUGAAAUCCCGGGGCUCAACCCCGGAACUGCCUUUGAUACUGGCAUUCUCGAGUCCGGAAGAGGUGAGUGGAAUUCCGAGUGUAGAGGUGAAAUUCGUAGGUAUUCGGAGGAACACCAGUGGCGAAGGCGGCUCACUGGUCCGGUACUGACGCUGAGGUGCGAAAGCGUGGGGAGCAAACAGG